ensembl:snRNA U12 U12 minor spliceosomal RNA
AUGCCUUUAACUUUUGACUAAGGAAAUAACAAUUCGGGGUGACGCCUGAUUGCUCACUGCUAAUGUGAGACGUAUUUUUGAGCAGGUAAAGGUUGCCCCUAAGGUUACUUGUCUACUUUGCGGGAUUGUUGGGAGUCAAGAUCUUCCCG